UUGUUGGUAAGGUAAAAGCUUACCAAGGCUUCGAUCAGUAGCUGGUCUGAGAGGACGACCAGCCACACUGGGACUGAGACACGGCCCAGACUCCUACGGGAGGCAGCAGUGGGGAAUUUUGGACAAUGGGGGCAACCCUGAUCCAGCCAUGCCGCGUGAGUGAAGAAGGCCUUCGGGUUGUAAAGCUCUGUCAGCCGGAACGAAACGGUUACGGAUAAUACCCGUGACUACUGACGGUACCGGAAGAAGAAGCACCGGCUAACUACGUGCCAGCAGCCGCGGUAAUACGUAGGGUGCAAGCGUUAAUCGGAAUUACUGGGCGUAAAGCGUGCGCAGGUGGUUUUGUAAGUCAGAUGUGAAAGCCCCGGGCUCAACCUGGGAACUGCGUUUGAAACUACAAGACUAGAGUGUGGCAGAGGGGGGUGGAAUUCCGCGUGUAGCAGUGAAAUGCGUAGAGAUGUGGAGGAACACCGAUGGCGAAGGCAGCCCCCUGGGUUAACACUGACACUCAGGCACGAAAGCAUGGGGAGCAAACAGGAUUAGAUACCCUGGUAGUCCAUGCCCUAAACGAUGUCAACUAGUUGUCGGGCCUUUACGGGCUUGGUAACGUAGCUAACGCGUGAAGUUGACCGCCUGGGGAGUACGAUCGCAAGAUUAAAACUCAAAUGAAUUGACGGGGACCCGCACAAGCGGUGGAUUAUGUGGAUUAAUUCGAUGCAACGCGAAAAACCUUACCUACCCUUGACAUGUAUCGAAGCCCGCAGAAAAGCGGGGGUGCCCGAAAGGGAACGAUAACACAGGUGCUGCAUGGCUGUCGUCAGCUCGUGUCGUGAGAUGUUGGGUUAAGUCCCGCAACGAGCGCAACCCUUGUCAUUAAUUGCCAUCAUUUAGUUGGGCACUUUAAUGAGACUGCCGG
rnacentral:rRNA from 1 species